rnacentral:rRNA from 1 species
CGGACAGUGUCUGGUGGGUAGUUUGACUGGGGCGGUCUCCUCCUAAAGAGUAACGGAGGAGCACGAAGGUUGGCUAAUCCUGGUCGGACAUCAGGAGGUUAGUGCAAUGGCAUAAGCCAGCUUGACUGCGAGCGUGACGGCGCGAGCAGGUGCGAAAGCAGGUCAUAGUGAUCCGGUGGUUCUGAAUGGAAGGGCCAUCGCUCAACGGAUAAAAGGUACUCCGGGGAUAACAGGCUGAUACCGCCCAAGAGUUCAUAUCGACGGCGGUGUUUGGCACCUCGAUGUCGGCUCAUCACAUCCUGGGGCUGAAGUAGGUCCCAAGGGUAUGGCUGUUCGCCAUUUAAAGUGGUACGCGAGCUGGGUUUAGAACGUCGUGAGACAGUUCGGUCCCUAUCUGGCGUGGGCGCUGGAGAACUGAGGGGGGCUGCUCCUAGUACGAGAGGACCGGAGUGGACGCAUCACUGGUGUUCGGGUUGUCAUGCCAAUGGCACUGCCCGGUAGCUAAAUGCGGAAGAGAUAAGUGCUGAAAGCAUCUAAGCACGAAACUUGCCCCGAGAUGAGUUCUCCCUGACUCCUUGAGAGUCCUGAAGGAACGUUGAAGACGACGACGUUGAUAGGCCGGGUGUGUAAGCGCAGCGAUGCGUUGAGCUAACCGGUACUAAUGAACCGUGAGGCUUAACCUUACAACGCCGAAGGUGUUU